rnacentral:lncRNA from 1 species
AAAUGGCAACAAAUGCAAGGGGAAAUGCGCCUACACUGUUAUUUAAGUUGGAAGGAAAAUUGGUGGAUUUUUUUUCUUCCUUAUAUUUGAGAGUUUUCUAUUUUGCUAAUGAUUAUAUAUAUUUUUAAAUUUCAAUUUUAUAAUUCCACAUGUGUACACUUUGUGCCACAUUCACUUCCCACCUUCCUACCACCCUCGAUUUUGAAUUAUUUUAAGUUAUUUUAUUUUUAGAUGUUCGAAAACAGUUUUAUUAAAUUGUAGAAGAUGUGCCUUUAAGUUAUUAUUAAUAUUUACUCUGCAGAGGCCUGUAACUCUCUUGUGUGGAGUAACUGACCAGCCCUUGUCCAUAUCAUGACUAGGGAAGGGCAGCUAGAGGAGCAAGGAGGCUUGAGCUUCGGUUCCAGAUUGGCUGAUUUCCAUCAUCUGACUUUGGGCAAUGUUUCUGAACCCCAUUCUCAUGUGCUUACUGGGUGAAGGGUGGCAGUUGCUUUUGCUGGCUUUUGGUCAUGAUGACUUGAGAGCUCCUUGAAACCCUGGGCACAGAAACCAGGGUAUAGCAACUAAAUCUCAAAGAUUACUACCUCUGCUGAAGUUUGACCCCAAGAAUUCUAGCCAAAUUGGAGCAACUGUUUUCUUGGCUCCAGACUUAUUGCCAGCCUCUAUAUGUGCAGAUAUUCCUUAAAUAAAGAGGGAGAAACUGGUUUCGAGCACGGGUACUCUGAGUUCCUACAGUAUUGCUUGUGGGGAAGAGACAAAACAACCAGAAGAUGAAAGUAAAGCUACUGACCAGACAAAGCCAAGAGAGGUCCAAGAGGUGGCUUAGGAGAUGUCAACCAGAAGCACAAAUACCUAUUAAUAACGCUUGACCUUGGAUGUUAACCUUCAGGGUAGUCAUUUACAAUAUCACAUUCCUGGUGGUACAAUCUACGCUGUGGUCUUUGGGUUUGCUUUAGAUUUAUGUUUGCUCUUUUUUUCUUUUCCUUUUUUCCUUUUCUUUUAGGGAGGGCUUGGAAAGGAGAGUAGGCAACUGGAAACAAGACAUUGGGGCUUUGAAGGCCAAGGGGGUUCCCAAGGCUCCCAAGUGCUGAGUCUGUGCUAUCAAGUAUCAUGGUGGUGUCAGGUUUGUUUUCUGGGAAAUAUUUGAACUAAUUUUAUCAGCAGCAUUUCUCUCGGGCUAUUUACUACCUGAAUAUUUGUCAGGGCCUCUGGAGGAGGCAGCCAAACAUGUACAUCUGCAGUUCAUGCUAUUUGAAGCACAACUUGGGUGGGGACGUCUCUCUGGUAACAGGGGUGGGGAGCUGACAGUAGAUGUUGCUGCGAGAAAGAUGGGAUUUCAGGAGCUGUCAUCAGGAUUGCGACGUCUGGUUGCAGUCGAUAUUUUUCCAAAUGCCAGCCACACGAGGAUUUAAAAGAAUGUGCAAAGAAGCAUGUGGCGUGCUCCUCGUGAAGCAGAAGUGGGCUGAGUGGCUCGCUUAACAUCGCGCCCCCUCCCAGCCAAUCACAAGCCCAGGCACCCUGGCCUCUUCCCUGCAAGGCCUUGGCCACAUGCCCUCCCAUACAAUUGUGAGGAGAUUGGAUGAACCACGAUGCUAUUUAAAGCACUCUUCCAUGGCGCUCUUACAGUUGUAAGAUUUCCCAAGAGGCGGUUGCCAGGAUUAUGCUCUUCCCCGCUGGCUUUUAAUUUGUAAAUUCUAAUGGGCUCCCCUUUAGAUAGGGUAGCAUAGGUAGUCAGUCCUCCUUGAGGUGGCCAGAGGCGUGUCCAUGGAAAUCUUCAAUGAGCAGUCUCUACCACACAC